rnacentral:rRNA from 1 species
GAUGAACGCUGGCGGCGUGCCUAAUACAUGCAAGUAGAACGCUGAAGGAGGAGCUUGCUCUUCUGGAUGAGUUGCGAACGGGUGAGUAACGCGUAGGUAACCUGCCUGGUAGCGGGGGAUAACUAUUGGAAACGAUAGCUAAUACCGCAUGACAACAGUUAUUGCAUGAUAACUGUUUAAAAGGGGCAACUGCUCCACUACCAGAUGGACCUGCGUUGUAUUAGCUAGUUGGUGAGGUAACGGCUCACCAAGGCGACGAUACAUAGCCGACCUGAGAGGGUGAUCGGCCACACUGGGACUGAGACACGGCCCAGACUCCUACGGGAGGCAGCAGUAGGGAAUCUUCGGCAAUGGACGGAAGUCUGACCGAGCAACGCCGCGUGAGUGAAGAAGGUUUUCGGAUCGUAAAGCUCUGUUGUAAGAGAAGAACGAGUGUGAGAGUGGAAAGUUCACACUGUGACGGUAUCUUAACAGAAAGGGACGGCUAACUACGUG